GUGAGCCAUGGGUGGGCCUUAAAGAAUAUGUCAAUCGCACGAUAUAGUCCAUCAUCCAAAGGUCGCGCAAACUCGGGCACUGCAGCAGCCAAUGCCUGAAAUUUUGGUAGCUUUAGGUUAACAUCUGGUGCAAUCUCCGCCAGGUAUCCGUCAAUAAGCUUGGCUACCGUGGUUAUGGGUGUUAGAGAAGGGGAGCCCAUCAACUGCUCGUCAUCAACCAGAGAAGGGGAGGCCCCACCCGUUGCCUGAUCCAUAGCUAAGAAAAUAUCAA
rnacentral:misc_RNA from 1 species